rnacentral:tRNA from 1 species
UUCCGGGUCGGCUAAAGGUAGGCCGCUUGACUUUGAAUCAAGCUGUGUAGGUUCGAAUCCUGCCCUGGAAA